rnacentral:rRNA from 1 species
UGCCUACGGGGGGCAGCAGUGGGGAAUAUUGCACAAUGGGGGAAACCCUGAUGCAGCGACGCCGCGUGAGUGAAGAAGUAUUUCGGUAUGUAAAGCUCUAUCAGCAGGAACGAGACAAGACGGUACCUGACUAAGAAGCCCCGGCUAACUACGUGCCAGCAGCCGCGGUAAUACGUAGGGGGCAAGCGUUAUCCGGAUUUACUGGGUGUAAAGGGAGCGUAGACGGCAGUGCAAGUCUGAAGUGAAAGGCAAGGGCUCAACCCUUGGACUGCUUUGGAAACUGUGCUGCUCGAGUGUCGGAGAGG